rnacentral:rRNA from 1 species
CAGUAGCCACGGUAAUACGUAGGGUGCAAGCGUUAUCCGGAAUUAUUGGGCGUAAAGAGCUCGUAGGCGGUUUGUCGCGUCUGCUGUGAAAACUGGAGGCUCAACCUCCAGCCUGCAGUGGGUACGGGCAGACUAGAGUGCGGUAGGGGAGAUUGGAAUUCCUGGUGUAGCGGUGGAAUGCGCAGAUAUCAGGAGGAACACCGAUGGCGAAGGCAGAUCUCUGGGCCGUAACUGACGCUGAGGAGCGAAAGCUAGGGGAGCGAACGGGAUUAGAUACCCCAGUAGUCCCUGUCUCUUAUAC